rnacentral:rRNA from 1 species
GACGAACGCUGGCGGCGUGCCUAACACAUGCAAGUCGAACGGAAGUAAGAGCUUCGGUUUUUGCUUUAGUGGCGAACGGGUGAGUAACGCGUGAGGAACCUGCCUUUCAGUGGGGGACAACAGUUGGAAACGACUGCUAAUACCGCAUAAGCCCACGACCCGGCAUCGGGUUGAGGGAAAAGGAGCGAUCCGCUUUGAGAUGGCCUCGCGUCCGAUUAGCUAGUUGGUGAGGUAACGGCCCACCAAGGCGACGAUCGGUAGCCGGACUGAGAGGUUGAACGGCCACAUUGGGACUGAGACACGGCCCAG